rnacentral:rRNA from 1 species
UACGUAGGAGGCGAGCGUUGUCCGGAAUUACUGGGUGUAAAGAGCGCGUAGGUGGGAGGCCAAGUCUGUGGUGAAAGCGCCCGGCUCAACUGGGCAUGGUCCAUGGAAACUGGUCACCUGGAGGACGGUAGAGGCGAGUGGAAUUCCGGGUGUAGCGGUGGAAUGCGUAGAGAUCCGGAAGAACACCGGUGGCGAAGGCGGUCUGCUGGGCAGUUGCUGGACACUUGGAGGCGCGACAGCGUGGGGAGCAAACAGGG